CCUACGGGGGGCUGCAGUCGAGAAUCUUCGGCAAUGGGCGCAAGCCUGACCGAGCGACGCCGCGUGGAGGAUGAAGGCCCUUGGGUUGUAAACUCCUGUCAGAGGGGAUGAAGUGCCAGUCAGCAAUCUGAUUGGUUUGACAUAGCCUCAGAGGAAGCACGGGCUAAGUUCGUGCCAGCAGCCGCGGUAAUACGAACUGUGCAAACGUUAUUCGGAAUCACUGGGCUUAAAGGGUGCGUAGGCGGCUUGUCAAGUAGGGUGUGAAAGCCCCCGGCUUAACCGGGGAAUUGCGCCCUAAACUGACGAGCUGGAGUGGGACAGGGGUGUGUGGAACUUCCGGUGGAGCGGUGAAAUGUGUUGAUAUCGGAAGGAACGCCGGUGGCGAAAGCGACACACUGGGUCUCAACUGACGCUGAGGCACGAAAGCCAGGGGAGCGAACGGGAUUAGAUACCCCAGUAGUC
rnacentral:rRNA from 1 species